rnacentral:rRNA from 1 species
GAUCAUGGCUCAGGAUGAACGCUAGCUACAGGCUUAACACAUGCAAGUCGAGGGGAAACGAUAGAGAAAGCUUGCUUUUUCUAGGCGUCGACCGGCGCACGGGUGAGUAACGCGUAUCCAACCUGCCCAUCACUUGGGGAUAACCUUGCGAAAGUAAGACUAAUACCCAAUGACGUCUCUAGAAGACAUCUGAAGGAGAUUAAAGAUUUAUCGGUGAUGGAUGGGGAUGCGUCUGAUUAGCUUGUUGGCGGGGUAACGGCCCACCAAGGCGACGAUCAGUAGGGGUUCUGAGAGGAAGGUCCCCCACAUUGGAACUGAGACACGGUCCAAACUCCUACGGGAGGCAGCAGUGAGGAAUAUUGGUCAAUGGGCGCGAGCCUGAACCAGCCAAGUAGCGUGGAGGACGACGGCCCUACGGGUUGUAAACUCCUUUUAUAAGGGGAUAAAGUUGGCCAUGUAUGGCCAUUUGCAGGUACCUUAUGAAUAAGCAUCGGCUAAUUCCGUG